GACGGAGGGUGCUAGCGUUGUUCGGAAUUACUGGGCGUAAAGGGCGCGUAGGCGGCCGUUUGCGUCGGAUGUGAAAGCCCGGGGCUCAACCCCGGAACGGCAUCCGAUACGGGACGGCUGGAGACCGGGAGAGGAGGGUGGAAUAGCCAGUGUAGAGGUGAAAUUCGUAGAUAUUCGGAAGAACACCAGUGGCGAAGGCGGCUCACUGGUCCGGUACUGACGCUGAGGUGCGAAAGCGUGGGGAGCAAACAGG
rnacentral:rRNA from 1 species